CCUACGGGAGGCAGCAGUGAGGAAUAUUGGUCAAUGGACGAGAGUCUGAACCAGCCAAGUAGCGUGAAGGAUGACUGCCCUAUGGGUUGUAAACUUCUUUUAUAAAGGAAUAAAACGAGGCACGUGUGCCUUUUUGCAUGUACUUUAUGAAUAAGGAUCGGCUAACUCCGUGCCAGCAGCCGCGGUAAUACGGAGGAUCCGAGCGUUAUCAGGAUUUAUUGGGUUUAAAGGGAGCGUAGAUGGGUUGUUAAGUCAGUUGUGAAAGGUUGCGGCUCAACCGUAAAAUUGCAAUUGAUACUGGCAGUCUUGAGUACAGUUGAGGUAGGCGGAAUUCGUGGUGUAGCGGUGAAAUGCUUAGAUAUCACGAAGAACUCCGAUUGCGAAGGCAGCUUACUAAACUGCCACUGACAUUGAUGCUCGAAAGUGUGGGUAUCAAACAGGAUUAGAUACCCGAGUAGUC
rnacentral:rRNA from 1 species